UACGAAGGGGGGCUAGCGUUGCUCGGAAUCACUGGGCGUAAAGCGCACGUAGGCGGAUUGUUAAGUCAGGGGUGAAAUCCUGGAGCUCAACUCCAGAACUGCCUUUGAUACUGGCGAUCUCGAGUCCGGGAGAGGUGAGUGGAACUGCGAGUGUAGAGGUGAAAUUCGUAGAUAUUCGCAAGAACACCAGUGGCGAAGGCGGCUCACUGGCCCGGCACUGACGCUGAGGUGCGAAAGCGUGGGGAGCAAACAGG
rnacentral:rRNA from 1 species